AUGAUCAAGGUCGCGGCGCCGGAGGUGCAGCAGCCGCAGGCCGUCGCCGCAGCCGAGGCGGUCUCGGCGGUGGUGCCGGAGGCGACCAUCUUCCGGUCCAAGCUUCCGGACAUCGACAUCCCCAGCCACCUGCCCCUGCACGAGUACUGCUUCGCCAGGGCGGCCGAGCUCCCGGACGCGCCGUGCCUCAUCGCCGCGGCCACGGGGAGGACCUACACGUUCGCGGAGACGCAUGCGCUCUGCCGCAAGGCCGCCGCGGCGCUGCACCGGCUCGGCGUCGGCCACGGGGACCGCGUCAUGAUCCUGCUCCAGAACUGCGUGGAGUUCGCCGUCGCCUUCUUCGGCGCGUCCUUCCUCGGCGCCGUCAGCACGGCGGCCAACCCGUUCUGCACCCCGCAGGAGAUCCACAAGCAGCUCGUCGCCUCCGGCGCCAAGAUGAUCGUCACCCAGUCCGCCUACGUCGACAAGCUCCGGCACGAGAGCUUCCCGAGAAUCAGCACAAGCGGCGGCGACGACACGCUCACCGUGAUCACCGUCGACGACGAGGCGGCCACCCCGGACGGAUGCCUGCCCUUCUGGGGGGUCGUCGGGUCCGCCGACGAGGGCUCGGUCCCGGAGGUGUCCAUCUCGCCGGACGACGCCGUGGCGCUGCCCUACUCGUCGGGCACGACGGGGCUGCCCAAGGGCGUGGUGCUGACGCACGGGGGCCUGGUGUCGAGCGUGGCGCAGCAGGUGGACGGCGAGAACCCGAACCUGUACAUGCGGGAGGGGGACGUGGCGCUCUGCGUGCUGCCGCUGUUCCACAUCUUCUCGCUCAACUCGGUGCUGCUGUGCGCGGUGCGCGCCGGCGCGGCCGUGAUGCUGAUGCCCAAGUUCGAGAUGGGCGCCAUGCUGGCGGGCAUCGAGCGGUGGCGCGUGACGGUGGCCGCCGUGGUGCCGCCGCUGGUGCUGGCGCUGGCCAAGAACCCCGUGGUGGAGCAGCACGACCUGAGCUCCAUCCGGAUCGUGCUCUCCGGCGCCGCACCGCUCGGCAAGGAGCUCCAGGACGCGCUCCGUGGCCGCCUCCCGCAGGCCAUCUUCGGACAGGGGUACGGGAUGACGGAGGCCGGGCCGGUGCUGUCCAUGUGCCCGGCGUUCGCGAGGGAGCCGACGCCGGCCAAGUCCGGGUCGUGCGGCACGGUGGUGCGCAACGCGGAGCUCAAGGUGGUCGACCCCGACACGGGCCUCUCCCUCGGCCGCAACCUCCCCGGCGAGAUCUGCAUCCGCGGCCCGCAGAUCAUGAAAGGCUACCUGAAUGACCCCGUGGCCACCGCCGCGACGAUCGACGUCGAGGGGUGGCUGCACACCGGCGACGUCGGCUACGUCGACGACGACGACGAGGUCUUCAUCGUCGACCGCGUCAAGGAGCUCAUCAAGUUCAAGGGCUUCCAGGUGCCGCCGGCCGAGCUGGAGGCUCUGCUCAUCGCGCAUCCCUCCAUCGCCGACGCCGCCGUCGUCCCGCAAAAGGAUGACGCCGCCGGCGAGGUCCCGGUCGCGUUCGUGGUGCGCGCCGCCGACUCCGACAUCGCCGAGGAGGCCAUCAAGGAGUUCGUAUCCAAGCAGGUGGUGUUUUACAAGAGGCUGCACAAGGUGUACUUCACCCAUGCGAUCCCCAAGUCAGCGUCAGGGAAGAUACUGAGGAAAGAGCUCAGAGCCAAGCUCGUCUCCCCCGUCACUGCCUGA
rnacentral:rRNA from 1 species